GUACCCUUGGUGGACAGAGAAGAAUACCCAGAGACUCUCACAAGACUCAGGCCACAUCUUGAGGUUCCUGAGCUCCAGCUCUAAAUUGUGACCCCUGCUUGGGACUUUGGGGGCUGUGGACACAGAGCUGGGGUGUGGCAGGGCUGGGUGACACUCUCCCUGUUCCCCAGGAGCUCUUCCAGAAGGUGGUGCCCUCUCAGUGCCUGGGCUUCACCUGGGGCAAGAGGAACAAGCCCGGCAAUGAGCACCUGACACCCACUGUCCAGGCCACCGUCGACCACUUCAGAAGGGUGGCCAGCCUCGUCAUCAUCACCUGCCUCGGGAACGCGAGCAUGAUGACCCAGGACAGGGCGAGGGAGUGCGUGAUCCGGAAGAACUUCUCAACCCGCACUGUCAUCUCUGUUCUGCAGAAAACCUCCACAAACCACUUGAAGAACACAUGGGAGGAAGUUUCCCUGUGGGGACAGCUCUGAAAAACUGAAGGAGCUCUAUAGCCAAGACGAGUCCUUGAGAAGAUAACUGAUGACCAAGGUUAACAAGCAGAAGGAUCUGUUAGGCCCCUUGGCCGGUGGGGUGCGAUUUUUGGGCAGGAGGCCCUGGUCAUGGGACACAGUGGUGUUGGCUGGGCUGUUCCAGGAGGAGUUGCUGAGCUGGUGCCAUCAGCAGGAAUACUGAGUCAUGAGGGAGAUCCUGCUGCUCCAGGUGGCUGCAAAGAAUUACAACCUGGACCCCGAGGAGCGAUUUGGGGCCUGGUUCCAGGACAUGGUGCUGCUCAACGAGAACGGUCAAAGAACAAGAGCAGAGGUCAUCAAAAGGUCAAGUCUAAUCUACCUACAGAUGUGGCAGGCUUAGCUAUGGAUGUUCAAGCCAGACAUUGCCAGGAGAACCACAUCUCUUCACCCAUAGCAUGGACUGUAGGAGAAAGCCCAGAGGAGCAAUGAAGACAAAGAAGACAUGACACCUGCAAAAAGUCAGUGGAGUAUUUCUACAUAAGAAACAUUCCAGGCUGCCAUGAUCCUCCCUCUGAACCCCAUGGUCAGUGUCGCUGCAGAGAUCCUCCCUUUGGACCCUGCCUGCCUGAAGGGCCCAUACCUUGAUCAGACGUCUUAGAACGACUGCCCUUAGCCAUGUCAUAAAAAGGAGAAAACAUCAUAUUUGACAACCCCAAUUCCUGCAUUAUACAGACAGGAAACUCAGGUGCACUUCACCACACGCUUCUCAGUUGCGUGGAUGCACAUCUCCACUUCUUUGCAGGGAGGACGAACAACAGCAGAAUACCCGUGGCCUGACUUUCUGGAGCAUCAGUAUUACUACAAGAUUUGGAAAAACCAAAGUUAGGUCAUUUCCAAGAGCCUACCCAUAGACAAAGCCAAGAUUUAAUCUGCAAGAGUCUGCCAGGCACUCUGUGGUCCAUGGGAAUCCCUCAAGUUGGCAGCCUGUUCCCUUGUGUCCUGUGCUGGUGUUCAAUCUUCCAUCUCUUCAGGGUACCACUAGACAGAGGCCUAUCAGAUCCUCAAGGGACUUGACA